rnacentral:rRNA from 1 species
GACGAACGCUGGCGGCGUGCUUAACACAUGCAAGUCGAACGGAAAGGCCCUGCUUUUGUGGGGUGCUCGAGUGGCGAACGGGUGAGUAACACGUGAGUAACCUGCCCUUGACUUUGGGAUAACUUCAGGAAACUGGGGCUAAUACCGGAUAGGAGCUCCUGCUGCAUGGUGGGGAUUGGAAAGUUUCGGCGGUUGGGGAUGGACUCGCGGCUUAUCAGCUUGUUGGUGGGGUAGUGGCUUACCAAGGCUUUGACGGGUAGCCGGCCUGAGAGGGUGACCGGCCACAUUGGGACUGAGAUACGGCCCAGACUCCUACGGGAGGCAGCAGUGGGGAAUAUUGCACAAUGGGCGGAAGCCUGAUGCAGCAACGCCGCGUGCGGGAUGACGGCCUUCGGGUUGUAAACCGCUUUCGCCUGUGACGAAGCGUGAGUGACGGUAAUGGGUAAAGAAGCACCGGCUAACAACGUG